rnacentral:rRNA from 1 species
GAUGAACGCUGGCGGCGUGCCUAAUACAUGCAAGUCGAGCGAACAGACGAGGAGCUUGCUCCUCUGACGUUAGCGGCGGACGGGUGAGUAACACGUGGAUAACCUACCUAUAAGACUGGGAUAACUUCGGGAAACCGGAGCUAAUACCGGAUAAUAUAUUGAACCGCAUGGUUCAAUAGUGAAAGACGGUUUUGCUGUCACUUAUAGAUGGAUCCGCGCCGCAUUAGCUAGUUGGUAAGGUAACGGCUUACCAAGGCAACGAUGCGUAGCCGACCUGAGAGGGGGAUCGGCCACAAUGGAACUGAGACACGGUCCAGACGCCUACGGGAGGCAGCAGUAGGGAAUCUUCCGCAAUGGGCGAAAGCCUGACGGAGCAACGCCGCGUGAGUGAUGAAGGUCUUCGGAUCGUAAAACUCUGUUAUUAGGGAAGAACAAAUGUGUAAGUAACUAUGCACGUCUUGACGGUACCUAAUCAGAAAGCCACGGCUAACUACGUG